rnacentral:rRNA from 1 species
GCAAGUCGAGCGGUAACAGGAAUUAGCUUGCUAAUUUGCUGACGAGCGGCGGACGGGUGAGUAACGCGUAGGAAUCUACCUAGUAGUGGGGGAUAGCCCAGAGAAAUUUGGAUUAAUACCGCAUACGCCCCAUGGGGGAAAGGAGGGGAUCUUCGGACCUUUCGCUAUCAGAUGAGCCUGCGUGAGAUUAGCUUGUUGGUGAGGUAAAGGCUCACCAAGGCGACGAUCUCUAGCUGGUCUGAGAGGAUGAUC